GAUAUAAAUGGAUGUGCCAAGAGGAAAUCAGAGGGAAGAGGACACCAGCAUAUUGCUCUCGCAGAAAAUGCAUGCUCCAGGAAAUGCACCAGUUUUUGCCAUUUAUUAUUCCGUUCUUGCUGCUUUCGGUGUUCCAGAAGCUGCUUGGAACACGUUGAGCAUUUUCCGCUAAGUUUGUUUGCACUCCUCAGAUUUGUAGUUGAAAAUAUUGCAUGGAGUGAUAUUAUAAUACCAUUAUAAUCAAUGAUCUGCUCUGACGACCAUGAAUAGACCCUGAUAUCCUCGAUUAACUUUAAUUGCUUCAACAAAUCUACUAAUAAACGUCAGUUAUUUUCCAGGCUGUAUACGAUCUGUCAGAGGUGAAAUUCAUUCUUCACAUACUCAGUCACUUUGUUUCCCUGAAAAACAUUGUUAAAUUAUGCUGCUGCAUCAAAACGCAGCAAGUUUGAACUCCGCUCCAGAUCCCGAAUCUGUAAUCAAGCUCUGUACUCCCGGUGCAUUGCUGGAGAACUGCAAGACCGUCAGGCCGGCCGUCCUUCUGAGGAAAAGUUGAGUAGAUGUCGUUCUGCUUCUUCGAUUACAGGAAACUCGUGAGACUGUUAGAAGAUCAGAUGUUUCUGUCAAUGAGCCAUAAACAACAAUCUACCGGCAAAGUCUUUCUGAAUUAAAUGCAAAGGAAUCUCUAAUCUCCCUCCCUACUGUAGCAGGAUCUCGCUGGCGAGAACAGCUCCCAUUGAUGUACAUUAGUGUACUGCAAAAAAACUGCCGAUGCUCCUUGACUUCUUGCCACAGGAGUAGAGGCCGCAUUCAACCAACAUUAUUGAUGCAAGGCAUUCUUUUCCUCAACCUUCAACCUUAAUGAUAUUUACUAGAACCUUCUUAUUAACCAUAUAUUGCUUCACAUCAUUCACUUCAUUCUACUUUUAUUCAUGUUCUUCUGCAGUUCUUAGCGUGAUCAUUUACUAUGGUUUAUUAUAAAUCAACGCGUUGUAUUUUAUUAUAAUUACUCCUUUGUUAACAUUGCUAUUUCGUCCAUUAAUGCCUUCAUAAAUUAUGUUCUUUCUACUUCUCUAAUAUAUAAAGUUUGCAAGAAUCUAUAAGAAAGAAAUGCUACGUUUCCCUUAUGUUUGGCAUUCCAGUUUUAUUUGAAACAGUCAUUUGCUUUGUUGAAUAAAGAGCAAUGCAUUGAUAAAA